CAAAAGGAAAGUGCCUCUGGCGGCUAUCACUGGUGGUGAUCUGAAAAAAUAUAAAUGAACUGGCAUGAGCUACACGGCUCAGUAAGUAAUUCUGCAUAAUCUCGUCGGAUCAACUAUAAAUACUAAACAUGUUUAAACGGGGUUUGAGAAGCUGACAUGUAUACUAUCUAACAAAUCAUCAUGAUAAAAUAUUCAUGCUGAGUAUAUAAAUCAAUGUUUUAUAUCAACAAGAAUUUUCAUGAAAUGCACAUAUAAACCGUGCAUCCGGCAUGCCGUGGUCCAUACUCUCAGAUGCUACUGCGAAGUUAGUAUCGGCCACUGGCGGGGCUGGCUCAGUCAUUCUCGGCCACUGGCAAGGCCGGCUCAGUUGCAUUCGAUCAGUAGCUCUUAAGAGUCCGUAAACAAUACUUCUUGUAGGUAGUACCUCAUGGAUGCUACGGCGAAUUCAUUAUCAGUCACUGGCGGGGCCUGCUCAGUUAUUAGUCAGCCACUGGUGGGGCCGGCUCAGUCAUUAUCGGCCACUGGCAAGGCCGGCUCAGUUGCAUUCGGCCCGUAGCAAUAAGAGCCCUUAGGUAUCCCUUGCAAGAAGUGCGUAUAGCUAGAUGCAAUUCAUCAUCUAUUUUACACUUAUACCACAAUUAUAUUAAUUGCAUUCAUGUAAUAUAAUCCAAUUUAUCUUGCAUGCAUAGAAAAUCUGCAUAAGCAUAAUGUAUGCAUAAUCAUAAAAUAUAUGACUAAAACAUGCCACUCGUAU
rnacentral:lncRNA from 1 species